AGCCAUUGCUGCUGGCUCUGCCCAGAUCCUGUCAGCUGCUGUUGCACGAACUGGGGGCUACCAGUGGCUCUUUUCUCACCCUUAGGUUCCUCUAGUUCAGGGACCCCCUAUCCACCACUCCAGAGUGUUCCUCUGCAGAUUGUACUGGAACUGGAGCUGUUUGCCUUGGCGACUGAGUAACUAAUGUUACAGAGGAAGAUUAAUUGUGCUUUUAUACUUAGGGUAGCAGAUGGUACUCAAAUGUAGGAAAUCUGGCAGAUGAGUAUGAAAUUCUGGUCUAAUUCCCCACUCCAUCUGGUUAAGUAGAAACUUGUGUCUUGAGCUAACCAGAAAACAAAAUGAUCAAAACAUUGGCUUGACAUUGUGUGGACCGACACUUUCACAAUUAAGAUGUAGAUGGAAAGGAUUUCUCCCUUCUCUGGAGAAUUCUAUUUAUUAAGGGAAAGAAAGUGUUACAAAAAAUAAAGAAUUCUGAAGCGAAGAAGUGGCUGUGGAAAGAAGAAGGGGGUCCAGAAAGGAUAAAGGGAAGAUUCUAGCUGGAGGAAAGUUCUUUAAACUGGGAGAAGAUCCUGGAGAUGGGAGAGAAGCAUGAGGAUAAAUGCCUGACCUUGGUUAGUGAUGCCCCAAACUAUCAGGAGUUGCAUAGAAAGAACCAACACAGCUUUAUGCCUGAUCCUCCCAGAGCAGCAAAGAUGUUCCUGCAGGGAAGGGAAGU